UGUCGUGAUGAUGGCAUUGAGGUCACACCUGUUCCCAUACCGAACACAGAAGUUAAGCUCAAUAGCGCCGAAAGUAGUUGGAGGAUCGCUU
rnacentral:rRNA from 1 species